CGGGCCCGCCCCCAUCCUGGUCUGAGCCUCUGGGCCCGCAGAGCUCGGCAGAAACCCGAGUGCUGGCCGCAGAGGGGCGCGCCCUAUGCAAAUGAGUGGGCGGAGCCUCGUGGAGGUUGCUAGCGGUAAAGACGACGCCAGAAGACAGUUUCCUUGAACUGUCGUGCUAACUACCUCUUCAUAUGUUUCCUGGGAGAUUCAAGUUAAUCCAGUAAACCUCACUAGCAAUACAGAGCAGUCCAGGAACUUGAAGCAGUUGCUUUCAAAAUCGCUACCUCUGUUAUCAUGGGAGAGUUGUGAAGAGCAUCCCAGCUGGUUUUGAAUGCAGCGCUAAUCCAAAUCCAAGGCUUUUGACAGAGUGGAGCUCACUUGCAAUGAUAACACCGACUUACACAGUUAUGUGCUGAUGAAAUCAUAAAUGUAAACGAAGAGAACAAGACCCGAAACUAAACGAAAAUUAAGGAUCAUUAGCUUCCCUUUGUGGACAAAUAUUUAUGCUAACAUGAAAUUCCCCUUCACGGAGGGUUUUGGGUGUUUCUUCUGUUAACAGUUUUAGAGGAAGGCCACAUAACCCCCGUUUUAAUAUUUUGUGGGCCAAGGAUGUACUUCACUGGAAGAGCACUCGUCUGGCCCACGCUAGACCCUGGUUUUACCCCCCAGAACCACCAAAAUAAAA